rnacentral:rRNA from 1 species
UACACGCUGUGACUAGCAUAUCAAUAAGCGGAGGAAAAGAAACUAACAAGGAUUACCCCUAGUAACGGCGAGUGAAGCGGGAAGAGCUCAAAUUUGAAAUCUUAAAGGGUUUCCCUUUACGAAUUGUAGUUUAAAGAAGUGUUUUCUGUUGAGGUUUUGGUAAAAGUUCUUUGGAAUAGGACAUCAUAGAGGGUGAGAAUCCCGUAUUUGACCUUUACUUUCAACUUUGUGAUACACUUUCAAAGAGUCGGAUUGUUUGGGAAUGCAGUCCAAAAUGGGUGGUAAAUUUCAUCUAAAGCUAAAUAUUGGCGAGAGACCGAUAGCGAACAAGUACCGUGAGGGAAAGAUGAAAAGAACUUUGAAAAGAGAGUUAAACAGUACGUGAAAUUGUCAAAAGGGAAGUGUUUGACACCAGUGUUGUUUUUCUGAAAAUCAAUUAAAGAACUGUUUAUGCUAAGCUGUUUAGACUUUAUCAGCUAACUGUUUAGUUUUGAGCUUUUCUUUAAUGCACUUUCCAGUUAACAAGUCAACAUCAAUUUCUUUUGCUGUAAAAAAGCUUGAGGAAGGUGGCUUGAGAUUCGUCUUAAGUGUUUAUAGCCUCUUGCCUAUGCAGUCGGAGAGAUUGAGGUCUGCAGCGUAGAUCCUUCGGGGCUAAAUGCAUUUGUGCUAAGUUAUAGCAUUUUAUAGACAACUUGUUGACUAUGAUUUGUCUUGUAGCUUACUCGCUUAUGUUAUUUUACCUACGCUUAGGAUGUUGACGCGCGUGUGUGCGUG